rnacentral:rRNA from 1 species
AGAAUCAACGCUGGCGGCGUGCCUAACACAUGCAAGUCGCACGAGAAAGGGACUUCGGUCCUGAGUAAAGUGGCGCACGGGUGAGUAACACGUGACUAACCUACCCUUGAGUGGGGGAUAACCUAGGGAAACCUGGGCUAAUACCGCAUAAUACCUUCGGGUCAAAGGAGCAAUUCGCUUAAGGAGGGGGUCGCGGCCGAUUAGUUAGUUGGCGGGGUAAUGGCCCACCAAGACUGUGAUCGGUAUCC